rnacentral:rRNA from 1 species
UACAGGGGUCUCAAGCGUUGUUCGGAUUCAUUGGGCGUAAAGGGUGCGUAGGCGGCGCGGUAAGUCGGGUGUGAAAUUUCGAGGCUUAACUUCGAAACUGCAUUCGAUACUGCCGUGCUAGAGGACUGGAGAGGAGACUGGAAUUUACGGUGUAGCGGUGAAAUGCGUAGAUAUCGUAAGGAAGACCAGUGGCGAAGGCGGGUCUCUGGACAGUUCCUGACGCUGAGGCACGAAGGCCAGGGGAGCAAACGGG